GAACUGUAAUGUGCGUACUUCGCAGUUGUCAUUCUUCUUGAGGAAACAAAGCCAUUCGGAGUUUCUAACCUUUGAUUAAAAUUGCACAGUUGACUGGUGGAAUAUUCAAUGUAUACUAGACUAAGCAUUUGCAACACAAAUAAAUGUCGGGGAACGGGAGAGCAAAUAAUGCGGAUGAAAUGUACUGCGAUCUGGUCCCAUCAACUGCCAACUAAUCAGUAGUUCCUGUCCUAAAGGAUGAAAAUGUGUAACAGGAAAAGGAGCAAAACCUUGAUGAGC